ACAAGAUUUUCACAGAAUUGGCAUAUAGAUACAAAGAUAGAGCUGGUGGAUACACAAGAAUGCUCCGUACCCGCAUACGAGUUGGUGACGCUACUCCAAUGGCCUAUAUCGAGUUUAUUGACAGAGAGAUUGAGCUUAGGCAAUCGAAA